AUUCUGCUCUGAGAGACAGCAGGCAUUAGCAAAACCAACCGUUAGGUGCACAAGUGCCGUUUGUUAAUGCGCUGGGAGCCAGAGGACACUGAUGGGAGGAGAGGUCACACAAGCUUUACUGAGAAGUGUCACUAGCCUGGCAGACAAGACUGAAAAGAGUGAACAAAUCGAUGUGUGUCGGGUGCAGACGUCGAAGCCCACGCCUGUAAUCCAGCACGUGUGGAUAUGAAGGCAGAAGAAUCAGAAAUGGAAGGCCAGUCUCAGCGCCGUGAAAAAUAAAUGACGGGCCAGAGAGAUGGCUCAGCAGAUGAAGGUACUCGCCACCAACACUGACGACCAGAGUGCCACUCCAGGACCCAGAUGGUGGAAAGAGAGAACCAGCUGCUUAGGACUGUUCUCUGACCUCCACAUGCCCUCCCCCCUUUCCCUUUUCUCCGUCCCCCUCUUUCCCACUCCUACAUGAUUCUCUCACCCAUGGGGGGGGGGCCCAGCCCGGUGACCAUACCCUACUCAGGGUUUCCUUCUCCCGUGGCCCCCAAUCACAGGGAUGCAGUGAGCAUCCAACAGUCUGGCUCCAGUUCAGAUAUUAAAGCGCCAUCUUUAGGAACUGUCCCAGGUAGCUGCCAAGGGUACCCUAUCUCCCCACCCUCUGCUUUCACCUGAGCUCCUUAUCCUGGGCACAUGCUGGAGACAUGCUCAGCAGUCAUGAGCACGGCUGUUCUUCCAGAGGACCAGGGUUUGGUUCUUGGUACCCAUAGCUGGUGGUUCACAAAGCCUGUGACUCCAGUUCCAGGGGAUCCUAUGGUCUCUCCUGGCCUCUGUGGGCAGCACCACACACACUCUUGUUACACACAUUGUGGUGGUUUGAAUGAAAAUGGCUCCCAUAGGCUCAGAGGGAGUGCCACUGUUAGGAGAUGUAGCCUUAUUAAAGUAGAUAUGGCCUUGCUGGAGGAAGUGUGUCACUGGGGGUGGGCUUUGAGGUUUCAGAUGCUCAAGCCAGGCUCAGUCACACUCUCUCUUCCUGCUGCCUGUGGAUCCAGGUGUAGAACUCUCAGCUACUUCUCCAGUGCGUCUGCCUAUAUGCCUCUGUGCUUCCCACCAUGGUGACAAUGGACAAAACCUCUGAGCUAUAAGCCAGCUUCCUUUAUAAGUGUUGCCAUGGUCAUAGUGUCUCUUCGAAGCAAUGGAAGCCCCAUAUAAGACAC